rnacentral:rRNA from 1 species
GUGGGGAAUAUUGGACAAUGGGGGGAACCCUGAUCCAGCCAUGCCGCGUGUGUGAAGAAGGCCUUUUGGUUGUAAAGCACUUUAAGCGAGGAGGAGGCUACCGAGAUUAAUACUCUUGGAUAGUGGACGUUACUCGCAGAAUAAGCACCGGCUAACUCUGUGCCAGCAGCCGCGGUAAUACAGAGGGUGCAAGCGUUAAUCGGAUUUACUGGGCGUAAAGCGCGCGUAGGUGGCCAAUUAAGUCAAAUGUGAAAUCCCCGAGCUUAACUUGGGAAUUGCAUUCGAUACUGGUUGGCUAGAGUAUGGGAGAGGUUGGUAGAAUUCCAGGUGUAGCGGUGAAAUGCGUAGAGAUCUGGAGGAAUACCGAUGGCGAAGGCAGCCAUCUGGCCUAAUACUGACACUGAGGUGCGAAAGCAUGGGGAGCAAACAGGAUUAGAUACCCGUGUAGUCC